rnacentral:rRNA from 1 species
UACAGAGGGUGCGAGCGUUAAUCGGAAUUACUGGGCGUAAAGGGCGCGUAGGCGGGCUAAUAAGUUAGAUGUGAAAUCCCUGGGCUUAACCUAGGAACUGCAUCUAAUACUGUUAGUCUGGAGUGCAGUAGAGGGUAGUGGAAUUUCCGGUGUAGCGGUGAAAUGCGUAGAUAUCGGAAGGAACACCAGUGGCGAAGGCGGACUACCUGGACUGACGACUGACGCUGGAGGCGACGAAAGCGUGGGGAGCAACAGG